rnacentral:rRNA from 1 species
GACGAACGCUGGCGGCGUGCUUAACACAUGCAAGUCGAACGGUGAAGCGCUUGCCUUUUUGGUGGGUGUGGAUGAGUGGCGAACGGGUGAGUAACACGUGAGUAACCUGCCCUCUUCUUCUGGAUAACCUCAUGAAAGUGGGGCUAAUACGGGGUAUUCCGGGUCUGUCGCAUGGCGGGUUUGGGAAAGAUUGCGCCUUUGGGUGUUUUCGGUGGGGGAUGGGCUCGCGGCCUAUCAGCUUGUGGGUGGGGGGGUGGCCUACCAAGGCGGUGACGGGUAGCCGGCCUGAGAGGGUGGACGGCCACACUGGGACUGAGACACGGCCCAGACUCCUGCGGGAGGCAGCAGUGGGGAAUAUUGCACAAUGGGCGCAAGCCUGAUGCAGCGACGCCGCGUGAGGGAUGGAGGCCUUCGGGUUGUGAACCUCUUUCGCCAGUGAAGCAGGCCUGCUCCUGUGUGGGUGGGUUGACGGUAGCUGGAUAAGAAGCGCCGGCUAACUACGUG